UCAGGUUAAGGAUGAGUGGUUUUUUGCUCCUAUCUGAAUGUUUUUGAAACAAAUUCUCUCUCUCACUCCUGCCCUCCUCCCCCGCACAGGCUCCGAAUCAGCCCCACUGGUAUUUGACAGGCAAACUGAGAAGAAAAAGAAUCAUGUGACUCUUGAUUAUCUCUGUCCAACCAGCCACCGAACCAUCUUAACCUCAAGUAGCUGCCAGAUUGAGUGAGACUACUGUAUAUAAACCAGAAGUCUGACCGAGAUGCCCUCUGCAACACAAGACGUUUUGUAUGAGCUCUCUGAUUAAUGAAACAAUACAGUUGGACUUUUGUUGACACCGCUGAUAUCAAUAGAUAUUCAGCAUAGCAUCUACAGUACAACCUUGGGUGUGCAGACUUCCAAUUCUCCACUCAUAUACCUGGCUCUGUCUCCUUGGAAACUGACCAUCUCUUUUGAUGUGUGACUCCUGGGAGUCCAAUGAACACACUAUACAAGGGGUAGCAUUUCCCCACAGGCUUCCUGAAGUGGGCAAAUUAAAGAAAACUGAAACAACAGAGGAGAUGCAAGAGGGCAGGAGGUUGAGAAAAGAUGGAGAGUUGCCUGAACUGCAUGGCCCAGAAUGCUCUGGGAAAUAAGCUGUCGGCCUCAGUCACCUGACUUACUGAAAGAAGACAAUUGGACAGAUAAUCAUUAAAACACCCGGAAACUGAGGCUUCCAGGUUGAUCAACAUUAGUCCUUUGAAAAAGAAGACACGUUUUCUGCCGUGUGAUAUGGCCAGAGUGAUUUGGCCAACUCUGCACUGCAAAUAAAAGAGUAGUAUUUUUGUAACUUGUAGCUGCAUUUGCAAUUUUGUACCUUGUAGCUCUGUUUAACCAGACUCUCCUACUGUAUUUUAAAGGUCACCUCUCAUGGCACUCCAGCCCCUGUGUGUGUCACAGAGAAAGUCAUCCACAAUGACCAAUGGUCAUACACAAUAAACUGAUCCAUAAAGAAAAUGCAAUACAUUUAGACCAAUAAUUGUUUGGGUACAUACAUGAUGUUAUUAAUAUUUUAAA